AUUGGACGCUGGCGGCAGGCCUAACACAUGCAAGUCGAGCGGAUGAAGGGAGCUUGCUCCUGGAUUCAGCGGCGGACGGGUGAGUAAUGCCUAGGAAUCUGCCUGGUAGUGGGGGAUAACGUCCGGAAACGGGCGCUAAUACCGCAUACGUCCUGAGGGAGAAAGGGGGGGUUCUUCGGACCUCACGCUAUCAGAUGACCCUAGGUCGGAUUAGCUAGUUGGUGGGGUAAAGGCCUACCAAGGCGACGAUCCGUAACUGGUCUGAGAGGAUGAUCAGUCACACUGGAACUGAGACACGGUCCAGACUCCUACGGGAGGCAGCAGUGGGGAAUAUUGGACAAUGGGCGAAAGCCUGAUCCAGCCAUGCCGCGUGUGUGAAGAAGGUCUUCGGAUUGUAAAGCACUUUAAGUUGGGAGGAAGGGCAGUAAGUUAAUACCUUGCUGUUUUGACGUUACCAACAGAAUAAGCACCGGCUAACUUCGUG
rnacentral:rRNA from 1 species